UACGAAGGGGACUAGCGUUGUUCGGAAUCACUGGGCGUAAAGCGCACGUAGGCGGAUUUGUAAGUCAGGGGUGAAAUCCCGGGGCUCAACCUCGGAACUGCCUUUGAUACUGCGAAUCUAGAGUCCGAUAGAGGUGGGUGGAAUUCCUAGUGUAGAGGUGAAAUUCGUAGAUAUUAGGAGGAACACCGGUGGCGAAGGCGGCCCACUGGAUCGGUACUGACGCUGAGGUGCGAAAGCGUGGGGAGCAAACAGG
rnacentral:rRNA from 1 species